UACGUAGGGGGCAAGCGUUGUCCGGAAUCAUUGGGCGUAAAGAGCGUGUAGGUGGCCCGGUCAGUCCGCCGUGAAAGUCCAGGGCUCAACCCUGGAAUGCCGGUGGAUACUGCCGGGCUGGAGUCCGGAAGAGGCGAGUGGAAUUCCUGGUGUAGCGGUGAAAUGCGCAGAUAUCAGGAGGAACACCGGUGGCGAAGGCGGGUCUCUGGGCAGUGAACUGACGCUGGAGGAGCGAAAGCGUGGGGAGCGAACAGG
rnacentral:rRNA from 1 species